rnacentral:rRNA from 1 species
UACGUAGGGUGCGGGCGUUAAUCGGAAUUACUGGGCGUAAAGCGUGCGCAGGCGGUUUGCUAAGACCGAUGUGAAAUCCCCGGGCUCAACCUGGGAACUGCAUUGGUGACUGGCAGGCUAGAGUAUGGCAGAGGGGGGUAGAAUUCCACGUGUAGCAGUGAAAUGCGUAGAGAUGUGGAGGAAUACCGAUGGCGAAGGCAGCCCCCUGGGCCAAUACUGACGCUCAUGCAUGAAAGCGUGGGGAGCAAACAGG